rnacentral:rRNA from 1 species
GACGAACGCUGGCGGCGUGCUUAACACAUGCAAGUCGAACGGAAAGGCCCUGCUUUUGUGGGGUGCUCGAGUGGCGAACGGGUGAGUAACACGUGAGUAACCUGCCCUUGACUUUGGGAUAACUUCAGGAAACUGGGGCUAAUACCGGAUAGGAGCUCCUGCUGCAUGGUGGGGGUUGGAAAGUUUCGGCGGUUGGGGAUGGACUCGCGGCUUAUCAGCUUGUUGGUGGGGUAGUGGCUUACCAAGGCUUUGACGGGUAGCCGGCCUGGGAGGGUGACCGGCCACAUUGGGACUGAGAUACGGCCCAGACUCCUACGGGAGGCAGCAGUGGGGAAUAUUGCACAAUGGGCGGAAGCCUGAUGCAGCGACGCCGCGUGCGGGAUGACGGCCUUCGGGUUGUAAACCGCUUUCGCCUGUGACGAAGCGUGGGUGACGGUAAUGGGUAAAGAAGCACCGGCUAACUACGUG